rnacentral:rRNA from 1 species
ACGGCCUUCGGGUUGUAAACCGCUUUCGCCUGUGACGAAGCGUGAGUGACGGUAAUGGGUAAAGAAGCACCGGCUAACUACGUGCCAGCAGCCGCGGUGAUACGUAGGGUGCGAGCGUUGUCCGGAUUUAUUGGGCGUAAAGGGCUCGUAGGUGGUUGAUCGCGUCGGAAGUGUAAUCUUGGGGCUUAACCCUGANCGUGCUUUCNAUACGGGUUGACUUG